rnacentral:lncRNA from 1 species
AUUCAGACUGUCUUGCAGAAGAACUUUGAGACUGGAGUAUGGCUAAGAAACCAUCAAAUCCAGUGAUUUAGAAAUAUAAUUUGGAGCAAUGAGGAAUGAUCCUGGGCCGCACAGCCCAGAAAGAGUCCUUACAUGGCAACUACGGUGGUUUUGGAAGACUAUUUUACAAUACCUCCUCUUUCUCUCUUAUUAACCUGUUUUCCAGAGCACUCAUUUCGUCUUCAAAUCCAAAUGAUCUAUACUCCCUCUUUCUGUUGUCUGCCCUCCUCCCACUUGGGGUUAGUUAACAGAUUUGGGAAUUUGGGGCCAGUAGAUAUCUCCUAAAUGAUUUCGUUCACUCCCCUUCAUUUUAUAGAAGAGGAAUCCAUGUCCAAAGAAGGAGUGGGACAUACUUAAAUUCGGCUUAGUGGAGAAUUCCUACGGACAGAUUCUAGUAUAGUUUCCACACUUGAGAAGUUAUCUCACAUUCCCAUCUCUGGGGCCCCUGCCUGGGCCCUGGCCAUAGCCUGUCAUUGGUCCCAGAUCCUCAUGACUUCAGGAAACAAUCUGGGAGGGCUUAGUUUGGAUAGGUUGAAGGAGCCCUGCUGCUACAUGAUUGAUAUACUGGAGCCUUCAAAGCAGGGGGCUCUUAUGGAACUCUUUCCCCUCCAUGACCCACAAACUUCCAUCCCCUUUUAGUUGGGCUUGUCCUUCUACUGGUGUAUGCGUGCGUGUGUGUGCUGGUUAUUCAUGGAGUUCAUGUGGCAAUGCAGUGAUCCAAACAACUUGGAGGAAUCUACUGGAAAAACCACUGUCCACAUUCAGAGGAAACACUGUGGGAGUAAAAACACAGAAGAAACACAACCACUUUGUUACAUGGAUCGAAGGGAUAUGACUGGAGAUGCAGACUCUAAAUGAACAUUCCAGUGCAAACACCAACAACAUGGAAACAGGUUCUGAUCAAGGACACAUGUAAUACCCAGUGGAAUUGUGCGUUGGCUACGGGAAAGGUGGUGGUGGGGGGGGGGGAAGUAUAUGAUUCUUGUAACCAAGAAAUAAUGUUCUAAAUUGACAAAAUAAAAUAAAAUAAAUAACAAUAAACCA